AACGAACGCUGGCGGCAGGCCUAACACAUGCAAGUCGAGCGAGGACUUCGGUUCUAGCGGCGGACGGGUGAGUAACGCGUGGGAAUGUGCCCUUCUCUACGGAAUAGCCCUGGGAAACUGGGAGUAAUACCGUAUACGCCCUAUUGGGGAAAGAUUUAUCGGAGAAGGAUCAGCCCGCGUUGGAUUAGGAAGUUGGUGGGGUAAUGGCCUACCAAGCCGACGAUCCAUAGCUGGUUUGAGAGGAUGAUCAGCCACACUGGGACUGAGACACGGCCCAGACUCCUACGGGAGGCAGCAGUGGGGAAUCUUAGACAAUGGGGGCAACCCUGAUCUAGCCAUGCCGCGUGAGUGAUGAAGGCCUUAGGGUUGUAAAGCUCUUUCAGCUGGGAAGAUAAUGACGGUAACAGCAGAAGAAGCCCCGGCUAACUCCGUG
rnacentral:rRNA from 1 species